GAGCUCCUGGCGCAGUGGUUAGAGCUUUUGACUUAUAACCAACUGGUCCCGAGUUCAAGCCUCGGGCGCCGCA
rnacentral:tRNA from 1 species